CGCACAUGGUGCAUGUGUGCAGGGGUAUUAUUACACUUUUGCCUCAACCCCUAAAUCAAAACACCAUUGUCGCGCCUGAUUUCUCCCCAAAAAAAAGUUAGGGUUCUGAAAUUUGGGGAAAAGGCUGGUAGAUUUCGAGGUAUAAGGUUCAAUAUCAUCAAUUGAUGAAGAUUUGAUAGGCGAAGUCACGAUUUGAAAGGGAAUUAUCAAUUUCAUGUAGGAAUUCAUCCAUUUUUCGGGUAAUUUCUUGUCUUAUUUGGUUAUAUGUCGAUUUCAGUUUCUAAAUUUGCCUAUUUCUUGUAUUUUUUAUUAUUUCAGCUCUUACAAUUAGCUGCGUUUCUUGUAGUUUGUAGAUGUCUACUUCAUCUUCUCAUGGAUUAAGGUGCCCUUUCUGUGGAGCUGAAAUGAAAUUACUUCUAUCAACUACAAAACAACAUUACAACAAAUAUUUCUAGAAGUGUACAAGGAAAUAUGUAAGGUAUGAUUUUGAAUAAGUUUUAUUUUAUGAUAUGGAUGUUGUGGUUAUGCAAAGUGGAUGUAGGAUGUAUGGAGGUGCUAGAUGCAAAGGUUUCGUAUGGUGUGAUGAUGUUGACAAAACAAAAGAGAGGGAAGAUAUAAUCUUUAGAGACUCGCAACAGAUAGAAAACAAUGGUAGCAAGGACGUGUGUUGUUUCAAUCUAUGCAGCUACAAGUUGGAGAUGUUUUGAAUCUAUUGAAAGAAAUAAAAGAGAUGUUGUUGAUCAUUUGUAUCUUGAUUACUAUCAAUGUGGUUUUCAAUUUAGUUAAAAAAAAAUGAGGUGCAUAGAUGGUGCUUCAAUUUGGGUAAAGACAUGUUUUGGUUGCUCAAACAUUUUGGUUGCAACAUUGUGAUCAAAAUUUAGGGAAAGACAUGUCUCAGAGGUUGUAAAUUUCUAGUCAUGAAAUGAAAACAUUCAGCUCUUGUU
rnacentral:lncRNA from 1 species